AAAGCUUUCUUCUCCCUGGUUUUUGAGUACUAGUAAAAAAUAAAAGGAAGUCUUUCAAUAACAAUAAACUUUUUUUUUUUUCUUCAGUCUUCAAAGCUAGAAAAAAAUGUUCAAAUUAAAAUCUACAUUCAUUGUUAAACGUCAAGUAUCUUUCACAAGACCGUAGAUGAUAUGUUGUAUUUGGGUUUACAUGACAAGAACUUGGUAGCAGGGAGGUUGUGAAGGUGGGCUCUGUGAGAAGCUGCCCCCUGUUAGAUAAGGCCCAGUAUCAGAUGGCUCCAAAGGGACCCGCUGCUGCCCACAGCCAAACCAAUAAGCAAUGUUGUUUGCCUCUGUGAGAACAGAUUUAAGAAAGGGAAAAAAACUGCUGCACAACAACAUCUGGGAGAGUAAGGAAUGAGAGAGCAGCCGUGGUGGAGAUCAGUUAACCAACUGAGUAAAACCACCAAACAUGUAAAUGUUAUGAAAUACUGAGAAGCUGUCAGAAAACAAUAACCAAGACAAUAUAGUUUCACUAGUCUCAUUUCUUUAAAAAAAAAAAAAUUAUAAAAAGUCUGGAACAGAGUAGGAAACAUAUGAGGAAUGCCUGGUACUGAAAAAUUCACCCUGCAUAUUUUAUUUGUGCUGAAGUCAAAGCAAAGAAAGAGUCCAUAAAAAUUUAAUAAAUGCAUAGUAACUAGUACCACCAAUCCCUCCUAUUUGUGCAGUUUUGAACUAAAAGGACAGUAGAGUCCUCAAAAAUAAAAAAAAAAAAAAAUCAUCUUCCAGAACUUUCUUUUGAUUAGAUUUUCCAAGAUUCUCUUUUCAAACCAUUUUCAUUGUAUGACUAACCUAGGCUUUGGUUGCAGCCAUGAUCUCACUAAAGAAUCUCUUCAUUAUUAUGUAAACAGCACUAUGAACUGGGAUACUUGCAGAAGUGAAAUAAACCAGCUCAGUGGCCCUCAAGAAGUACAUGAAAUGGAUAAGAUAAGAAAUGAAGAAUAUUUUUUUAGUGGAAAAUAUAAGGUGAUAUGUCUUUAG
rnacentral:lncRNA from 1 species